rnacentral:rRNA from 1 species
GACGAACGCUGGCGGCGUGCCUAACACAUGCAAGUCGAGCGGGGGGAGUACUUCGGUACAAACCUAGCGGCGGACGGGUGAGUAACACGUGGGUAACCUGCCUCAAAGUGGGGGAUAGCCUUCCGAAAGGAAGAUUAAUACCGCAUAACCCAUAGCUUCCGCAUGGAAGCAAUGGUAAAGAUUUAUCGCUUUGAGAUGGACCCGCGGCGCAUUAGCUAGUUGGUGAGGUAACGGCUCACCAAGGCCACGAUGCGUAGCCGACCUGAGAGGGUGAUCGGCCACAUUGGAACUGAGACACGGUCCAGACUCCUACGGGAGGCAGCAGUGGGGAAUAUUGCACAAUGGGCGAAAGCCUGAUGCAGCAACGCCGCGUGAGUGAUGAAGGCCUUCGGGUUGUAAAGCUCUGUCUUUUGGGACGAUAAUGACGGUACCAAAGGAGGAAGCCACGGCUAACUACGUGCCAGCCGCCGCUGUAAAAC